rnacentral:rRNA from 1 species
UACGUAUGGUGCAAGCGUUAUCCGGGUUUACUGGGUGUAAAGGGAGCGUAGGCGGCGCGUUAAGUCUGAUGUGAAAACCUGAGGCUCAACCACGGGAGUGCAUUGGAAACUGGCGUGCUGGAGUGCCGGAGAGGUAAGCGGAAUUCCUAGUGUAGCGGUGAAAUGCGUAGAUAUUAGGAGGAACACCAGUGGCGAAGGCGGCUUACUGGACGGCAACUGACGCUGAGGCUCGAAAGCGUGGGGAGCAAACAGG